rnacentral:tRNA from 1 species
UAUAGCUUGUUGUAGAAUUUGCAUAGCUUAUUUUGGUUAAGCAGGUAGGGGGUCUUUAGCUAUAG